rnacentral:piRNA from 1 species
CAAGCUUCCUAUUCUGGUGAUAACUGC